rnacentral:rRNA from 1 species
CCUACGGGUGGCUGCAGUGGGGAAUUUUGGACAAUGGGCGAAAGCCUGAUCCAGCCAUGCCGCGUGCGGGAAGAAGGCCUUCGGGUUGUAAACCGCUUUUGUCAGGGAAGAAAAGCGCCAGGCUAAUACCUUGGCGUCAUGACGGUACCUGAAGAAUAAGCACCGGCUAACUACGUGCCAGCAGCCGCGGUAAUACGUAGGGUGCAAGCGUUAAUCGGAAGUACUGGGCGGAAAGCGUGCGAAAGCGGUGAAAUCCCCGGGCUAAACCUGGGAACUGCAUUUGUGACUGCACGGCUUGAGUGCGUCAGAGGGGAAUGGAAUACCGCAUGUAGCAGUGAAAUGCGUAGAUAUGCGGAGGAACACCGAUGGCGAAGGCAAUUCCCUGGGCCUGCACUGACGCUCAUGCACGAAAGCGUGGGGAGCAAACAGGAUUAGAUACCCGGGUAGUC